ACCCCAGACUCCUACGGGAGGCAGCAGUCGAGAAUCAUUCACAAUGGGGGAAACCCUGAUGGUGCGACGCCGCGUGGGGGAAUGAAGGUCUUCGGAUUGUAAACCCCUGUCAUGUGGGAGCAAAUUAAAAAGAUAGUACCACAAGAGGAAGAGACGGCUAACUCCGUGCCAGCAGCCGCGGUAAUACGGAGGAUGCGAGCGUUAUCCGGAUUUAUUGGGUUUAAAGGGUGCGUAGGCGGAAUGCCAAGUCAGCGGUAAAAUCGCGGGGCUCAACCUCGCUCCGCCGUUGAAACUGGCAGUCUCGAGUUGGAGAGAAGUAUGCGGAAUGCGCGGUGUAGCGGUGAAAUGCAUAGAUAUCACGCAGAACUCCGAUUGCGAAGGCAGCAUGCCGGCGCGCAACUGACGCUCAUGCACGAAAGCGUGGGUAUCGAACAGGAUUAGAUACCCCCGUAC
rnacentral:rRNA from 1 species